UAUGUGCAAUGGUUAUAAUUUAUCACAGCAUAAGAACUGGAAUGUAUAUUCCCAAUAAAAAAUUGAAGCGGUAUACAUUCCUUUUACUCCAGCUGGAACCUUCUUCCCUGGCCCACAGCUGCCACAGACUUCUGAUCUCUCACACUCAGGUUCUCUUCAACUCAGCAUGAACCUGAUGACCCCAUGAUUAGAUGGUUCAAUCUUCCCUCACUCCUAAAUCACACUCACCCUAACCAGGCUUCUUGUCCCCCAAAUAAGCCAUGAUAUGCAACAGCAAUCCAAAACUGCAAAGCUAAAAGGCUGACAGCUUGUGAAAUAUUCAUCUUACUUAACAAAUGGUUUGGAGUCAGGGAAGAAUUUUAUUUUUCUACCAAAUAAACACAGUCCUAUCAAAGGGAAAUGAUUCCGUGAAGGUGAACUAGAAGCCUUUAUAGGUAAACCUUAUCUGCAGGUGGGACACAUGUUCCCCUGCUCAGUCUUUCAUGGUAUUUGGUGCCCACUUCUGAUAAGUGUAGAAACUAUAUCCAAGUAGCCUUUAGGAUAUUGCUGACUCAUGGCCUGGACAUCUAGUGCCACUGAUACAGAACCAGAGAAUCCUGAACAGCUGCUUUGUGUGUAUACAGAUGGUGUUGGGGCAGAAAUGAUGAUGCUCAAGAUAUGAAUGCUGUUUAUGUCCCAGUUCAAUCCUGUGCAUGCUAAAUUAUUCCUUUGAGGUCAGGAAGCUACUGGUCAUGUAUGCCUUUGAGUUAUGUUUGAUCUUGCUCACUCUGUCAGGAUAUUGGUGGCUGACUGGAUUUGAGUCCUGUUUUGUUGUGGUGGUGGUUGUUAUUGUUGUUUGGACUUUUUGUUUAAAAGCUACUUUCUCAAACUGGUGUUUAAGACUAUUUUGGCACUUUAACUAUCUGCCCGUAAAAACUAGAGAAUUUUUCAAACCAUGGAUUAUUCCCAACCACAGCCAACACAACUACCCUUAAUGAAGGCCCAAUGGCUAUUUUUAAAAGAGUUGAAAGUCUUAAGACCACAAGCACUUUAUGAUUUAGGGGAUUGUGUUAUGUCUUUCCCCCAAUAGUUAGUGUUUAAUUUCCACAUAGUAGCCUUAUCUCAGCAAUGGACUAAAAGCUGGUCCCUCCAAGCCUGAUCAUUUUAUGACUUAAAAGUAGUAUUGAGGAAAUCCAAGUUUCUAUGUAGUGUUAGCCCUGGAUGGAAGCACAAAGAUACAGUGACAGCCAGCUGCAAUAAAUUAUCCGAUCUCCGUGAUCCUCAAGGGAAGCACUUCUGCCUUUACAUAGAAAGGAUCUCAGUUGUGCUUUAUGGGCUCCCGCUGCCAUCAGCACCUGAUGAAACUUUAACCAGGGAAGCAUUAAACACAGCAUAGUGGUGUCUGCCCAGGCUCCCCGGUUCCUGCCAGCAGCAUUUAUCAACGUGAGCACCAGGAUGCUUCCUGCAGUGGCCCCAGCUUUCCCCAGAGCUGGAGCCUGCUGCUCUACCUUCAGCCCCAGCAUGAUGAGUCUUUCCCUCCCGCCAGGUCAGUAAAAGUUAGACUGCUCAGAAUCGUGUCCUGCCUGGUUGCAGGCUGCAGGGUUUGCAGAAAUCCCCCCAGGGAGAUGUCAUCCAGAGAGAAGGGCUGGGAAAUUCUCCAGAAUGAAUCGGGUCUUCACAGCAAUCCCUGGCGGCCUUCCAAUGAUGGGUAUCUGGGAGCUGGCGUGUCCUUUGAUUUGAUACCUAUAACCCAGGGCAGUUCCAAGAAGUGCUUGAAAUCUCAGCUCCGAGCACCCAGGAGAGGGAGUGACCUCUCUGAGGAUCAGAUGUGACCCAAGCCCCAUAGCGGCCCAUUUCCCAGAAGACAAAAAAAAAUUAGGAGUGAAAGUCCUUUGCUCAAGGCAUGGAACCCGAUGUGAUGUGAACCCCACUGUCCCUGUGUGUCACACAAGACAACUACAACCAGAGGGAGAAAAUAAAGGCAUUUGUUCUUUUCAGCAGCCUCAGAGUGCCUAGUUGUGUGUUUUUCCCUGAGGAUUGAAUUACACAGUUUGUACUUUGUUUAGGUUAUGGUUGCUCUAGGAUUUAGAGAUCCUCUUUUUUUUGAGGACAUCAUCACCCGUAAAUAGUGUAUCCUGGCCUUUGGGGUGUAGAAUCUCUCAGUAAAGUGAAAGAUGUUCCAUUCUCCAUUUCAAAAAGGUUUGCCGCUGCACUGCUCCAGAGAAGGAGGCUCAGGGUUUAGGCCAUCAAACCCCAUUCUAUGCUUGCUAUGGAGAGUUACACCAGGUUCAAGGGACUGUAGAUAGUUGACCCGUAUGUGCAUAUGUGUAUGUAUAAACACACAGUGUAAGAACUAAGCGAAGGGGCCCAAGUGAUAGUAAAAUGUGCAGGGAGUUUGCCUUGCACAUAGCUAGCCCAGGUUAGGUGUCCUCCCCUUUGAUGCUCAGGAGUUAUUUCUGUCCAGAGCCCCUAUGCAUCAUCAGGAGUGGCCCAAAAAUCCAAAAUCCACCCCAAAAAAAAGAACUAAGGAAACUCUGAGCAGUCCCUGCAUUACAAACCACUGCACAGGCUUCUUCCAGCCUGAUUACAAGUGUCACCAGCUAAUUGGACCUUGGGUGAUUGCUUACAAGAUGCUUACAAGAGCAACUCUUUAGCAGAGGUUGUCAGCUCCUAAAGCUCGGCAUGGAGGUGACAGCCCUGCCAGGAAACUACUCUAUAGCCCUACUCCGAAUGUACUGUGAGUUUGCCCUCUCCCAUCAGGCCCCAAUUCACCACUUGUAAUUAAGUCAAAGCCCAGGAUGUGCUCUCCCUCCUCCAGCGAAUAUUCUCACCAAUACCUGAGCAUGCAAACUCUCAUCUCAGCUGUUCAAUACAUGCUUGUCAGUAAGAAAAACAUUUGCCUGUCUACUGUGUGCCUAAGUACAUCCAGAAUUUUCUGUUUAAAACACCCAUCUCUCGAUGGAUUUUUUUUUCCUCCGCCCAACCAAAAGAGAGAGAGAAAACAGAGACCUGAUCUCAUUUUACUGCCUUUCCUCUAAGCAGUGUAUCUGAGGCCCUGCACCUCAGCCGGUUCCAAAAGCCGUUUAAGAGCUAGACAGUUGCUGCCCGCCGGGGCCUCCCUGGUAAAACAGUAUCAUUUGGAACUGACAAGGGCCAAAGCAAGAAAAUGAAAAUAAAUGAAGAUGCUUAUGGUACACUGGCAUAAAAAAAAAAAAGUAGCAGAGCCUAUGCUGCAAUUGCUGUUGCCUGGAGGGGACAGUUGCUUUAUACUAGCUGGGAGUUAAAUGUGACCCGUCUGUCUGCAGUGACAGCAGAGGGAAGAAAAGCAAAGAACCCACUGCUCUCUGCCUGUUUUCUCCUGCACAGGCACAUUCCCUGCUUAGCCAUAUUCUUCUUUUACCCUCUGCAUUAACACGGGAACAUUCAGUCUUUGAGGGGAAUUACAUGUUUGAGUUAACGUUUCAGUAUAUCAUUUUCAUACUGUAAAUUAUUUUGUAAGAAAGAUUUACCGCUGUCCCAGGAUGUUUGGACUCAGAGCCCCUGUGCAUUUGGAGAUCAAUAAACUAUUACUGGAAAUACCA